UGGGGAAUUUUGGACAAUGGGGGAAACCCUGAUCCAGCCAUCCCGCGUGUGCGAUGAAGGCCUGCGGGUUGUAAAGCACUUUUGGCAGGAAAGAAACGUCAUGGGUUAAUACCCCGUGAAACUGACGGUACCUGCAGAAUAAGCACCGGCUAACUACGUGCCAGCAGCCGCGGUAAUACGUAGGGUGCAAGCGUUAAUCGGAAUUACUGGGCGUAAAGCGUGCGCAGGCGGUUCGGAAAGAAAGAUGUGAAAUCCCAGAGCUCAACUUUGGAACUGCAUUUUUAACUACCGGGCUAGAGUGUGUCAGAGGGAGGUGGAAUUCCGCGUGUAGCAGUGAAAUGCGUAGAUAUGCGGAGGAACACCGAUGGCGAAGGCAGCCUCCUGGGAUAACACUGACGCUCAUGCACGAAAGCGUGGGGAGCAAACAGG
rnacentral:rRNA from 1 species